rnacentral:lncRNA from 1 species
CCUCAGUAAAAGGCUUCAUAUUCUGGUUGCAAAUUUGGGAGGAUCCUAACAGUAUUAAUAGUAUAUAAAUUUAUGCCCAAGAGGAAGGGUUCAAGACAUUGUUUGUCUCUGACUGAGCCAGUGAGCCAUUACUCUCAUAGAUAGCGUAGCACAUAGAAAUCAUGCCAACGACUGGUUUUAGGUUUAUUUCCCAAAAGCAAGGUUCACAAAAAGGGUGCCAAACCAAGAUUAAUCUCACCAAUAUUUUAUGACCAGUUCACGACACUAAUUAGAAUUUUAAGGAUUUAACAACUUGCAUAACAAAAAUAUACACAUGACUAGAUGGUGUGAGAUUAUUAAACUUUCAACCCUAAGAAAUUUAGAAUAUAUCCAGCAUCAUUACCAAUAUCUCAAAAUAACGACAUGUACAUCUCAAUGUUACUCCAAUAUGUCUUCCUCAUCCAUUUCUCUCUACAAUGUAAAUCAAAUUAUCUUUCAAUUAAAGUUGGCGUAACAAAAUUUCAGUGUUAGUAUUUCUUUUUUCUUUUGAUAAUGUGUGACAUCAGUCCAGUAGUCCACUUGUACAUCCAUCAUCCAUCGAAGCCAUUUAUCUCUAAAUAACAAACCAUAUUAUCUUCUAAUUAACAUUGUGAAAUCUGAACUGUAGUAGUGUAGUGUUUAAACCUUUCAGUAUAUGAACUACAACAAAAAAAACGCUCAUGAGGUUAAACAAACAUAAUAAAUUCACAAUAAUACAUUCAUAAGGUUUAAGAAGAUUGAGUACUUCGUUCUAGUAGAAAGUAAUAAGAUGUUCUAUAUUUCUAAAACAAUUAUUAAUAAAAAUAAAAGAAAAUCAAAUAGUUUAAGAUCUCAGAUCUAUGAAUGAACCAAAUAUAAACACAACAAUUUGACCAAAUUCAGGAAAAAAAUAGUAAAAUGAGAUCUAACCUGUAAAAAUCAACAGAUUUGAUUUUACUUGAGGAAAUCAUGAUUACAGAUACAGAGCUCAAAUCGAACUGGUUCGUUUACUUAGUUAUCGAAUUCGCAUAGAGAGAAGAAGAAGAAUGAAGAAUGAAGAAGAAGAAGGACGAGUGUUACUUUCCUUUUGCUUGUGAAUAAGAAAAUAGUAGUAAUUCCGAAUCUCGACAAAAGAUUUGCGUUUUAUUUUGGGAAAUCUGGUGGGCCCGAAUACUUAACAUUGAGCAAUUAACAAUCGCCAUGCCAACCACGUUUGGAUCAUUA